UUGACGGAAGGGCACCACCAGGGGUGGAGCCUGCGGCUUAAUUUGACUCAACACGGGGAAACUCACCAGGUCCAGACACGAUGAGGAUUGACAGAUUGAGAGCUCUUUCUUGAUUUCGUGGGUGGUGGUGCAUGGCCGUUCUUAGUUGGUGGAGUGAUUUGUCUGCUUAAUUGCGAUAACGAACGAGACCUUAACCUGCUAAAUAGCCCGUAUUGCUUUGGCAGUACGCUGGCUUCUUAGAGGGACUAUCGGCUCAAGCCGAUGGAAGUUUGAGGCAAUAAC
rnacentral:rRNA from 1 species